AUUGAACGCUGGCGGCAGGCCUAACACAUGCAAGUCGAGCGGAGCGGCGGACGGGUGAGUAAUGCCUAGGAAUCUGCCUGGUAGUGGGGGAUAACGUCCGGUACCGGGCCCUAAUACCGCAUACUAUCAGAUGAGCCUUGGUGGGAUUAGCUAGGUGGUGGGGUAAAGGCCUACCAAGGCGACGUUCCGUAACUGGUCUGAGUGGAUGAUCAGUCACACGGGAACUGAGACACGGUCCAGACGCCUACGGGAGGCAGCAGUGGGGAAUAUUGGACAAUGGGCGAAAGCCUGAUCCAGCCAUGCCGCGUGUGUGAAGAAGGUCUUCGGAUUGUAAAGCACUUUAAGUUGGGAGGCGUUACCAACAGAAUAAGCACCGGAUAACAAAGGGCCAGCAGCCGCGGUAAUUC
rnacentral:rRNA from 1 species